GCGUCGUUAAAAUCUUGGAGACCAGGAGGAUGCCGGCUCAUUCUGAUGACGUAUCUGUGCGCUGGAAGAGAGAGACACCAUGCUGGUUAGAGUCGUGAGGAUGGGUGUCUGCCUCUGCACAGCGCCUGUGUGGGAGUUCCGGGCAGCGCAUGCGGGCUUUAGACUGAGAGCCCAGAUACGGUUUCUGUCUGGUUAUCCCAUCUCACUGACUUUAAAACAAGUAUACAAACAAUUAUUAAAACGCAAAAUGUCCAGUUUCAGUGCCACAGGAAUGUUUACUUCAGCAUCGUAUAUUACCAGCCUUCCACCCAGAGUCCAGGCUUCUUUAUAGAAAGAUACAGAAAGAACAGAACUCUGUUGUAAAUUAGAACAAGGGACGCAUAAUGUUCAUGUGGAGUAAAACCGUAAUGUUGGAGAUACUUAAACUCUGAGGUAAAUGACUGUUUUUUCUUCCUUAAUUAAAUCCUCUGAUUAACA